rnacentral:misc_RNA from 1 species
UUUUAAUUUCCUCCUAGAAUAGUAUUUUGGGAGUUAGCCGGUGGUACUAAAAUUGAAAAGCAACAAGCUUCUGAAGGUCUUGACCAGAAAUAAGAAAAAUAUUCACGAGAAUAAAAAGACAAAGGUGAAAUCACAUUCAAUUAGUUCUUUGUGUGCAUCAUAUUAGCACUAACUCAGAGAUCAUAAAAAACAAGUGAACAACAACAAAACAAUUUAAUAAUGCUAUGUGGAUUUAAGUAUAAAAUCUGAAAUUUUCCAUUAAAAAAAUGUUAUUUUAAAGAUAAAAG